rnacentral:siRNA from 1 species
CUGUGAAGCUCGAUCUAAAAG